GGCUCCAUAGUGUAGUGGUUAACACGUCUGCAUUACACGUAGAAGGUCCUAGGUUCAUGCCCCAGGUGGAGCCA
rnacentral:tRNA from 1 species